rnacentral:rRNA from 1 species
GAGUUUGAUCAUGGCUCAGAUUGAACGCUGGCGGCAGGCCUAACACAUGCAAGUCGAGCGGAUGACGGGAGCUUGCUCCUUGAUUCAGCGGCGGACGGGUGAGUAAUGCCUAGGAAUCUGCCUGGUAGUGGGGGACAACGUUUCGAAAGGAACGCUAAUACCGCAUACGUCCUACGGGAGAAAGCAGGGGACCUUCGGGCCUUGCGCUAUCAGAUGAGCCUAGGUCGGAUUAGCUAGUUGGUGGGGUAAUGGCUCACCAAGGCGACGAUCCGUAACUGGUCUGAGAGGAUGAUCAGUCACACUGGAACUGAGACACGGUCCAGACUCCUACGGGAGGCAGCAGUGGGGAAUAUUGGACAAUGGGCGAAAGCCUGAUCCAGCCAUGCCGCGUGUGUGAAGAAGGUCUUCGGAGUUGUAAAGACGACUUUAAGUUUAGGGUAGGGAAGGG